AUACGGAGGGUGCGAGCGUUAAUCGGAAUUACAGGGCGUAAAGGGUGCGUAGGCGGCUUGAUAAGUCGGAUGUGAAAGCCCCGGGCUUAACCUGGGAAUUGCAUUCGAUACUGUCAGGCUAGAGUAUGUCAGAGGUUGGCGGAAUUCCUGGUGUAGCGGUGAAAUGCGUAGAUAUCAGGAGGAACACCAGUGGCGAAGGCGGCUAACUGGGGCAAUACUGACGCUGAGGCACGAAAGCGUGGGGAGCAAACAGGAUUAGAAACCCUAGUAGUCC
rnacentral:rRNA from 1 species